CAGAGUUGCAUGACUCCCUAAACCAUUGUGAACCUACCUUCUACCGUUGCUUCGGCGGGCGGGCCCAGCGCCCCCCCGGCCCCCCGCGGGCGCCCGCCGGAGGAUACCCAAACUCUUGACAUUAGUGGCCUCUCUGAGUAUUCUUUACUGAAUAAGUCA
rnacentral:misc_RNA from 1 species